ACAUGCCUAUAACAUAGCAUUAAUGCACCAUAUCCCAUUAGAACUAUGCAGUUAAGAGAGAUUUGGAUAGAGUAGUACUGGGAUGGGUGACUACCUUGGGAUUCCUAAUGUUUUACAUGCC
rfam:Picea glauca, whole genome shotgun sequence.